CCUACGGGAGGCUGCAGUGGGGAAUAUUGCACAAUGGGGGAAACGCUGAUGCAGCAACGCCGCGUGAGUGAAGAAGUAUUCCGGCAUGUAAAGCUCUAUCAGCAGGGAAGAAGAAAGACGGUACCUGACUAAGAAGCCCCGGCUAACUACGUGCCAGCAGCCGCGGUAAUACGUAGGGGGCAAGCGUUAUCCGGAUUUACUGGGGGUAACGGGAGCGUAGACGGCUGUGCAAGUCUGAAGUGAAAGCCCGUGGCUCAACCGCGGAACUGCUUUGGAAACUGUAUAGCUUGAGGACUGGAGAGGCAGGCGGAAUUCCUAGUGUAGCGGUGAAAUGCGUAGAUAUUAGGAGGAACACCAGUGGCGAAGGCGGCCUGCUGGACAGAAACUGAUGUUGAGGCUCGAAAGCGUGGGGAGCGAACAGGAUUAGAUACCCCAGUAGUC
rnacentral:rRNA from 1 species